CAGUAGCCGCGGUAAUACGGAGGGUGCAAGCGUUAAUCGGAAUUACUGGGCGUAAAGCGCACGCAGGCGGUUUGUUAAGUCAGAUGUGAAAUCCCCGAGCUUAACUUGGGAACUGCAUUUGAAACUGGCAAGCUAGAGUCUUGUAGAGGGGGGUAGAAUUCCAGGUGUAGCGGUGAAAUGCGUAGAGAUCUGGAGGAAUACCGGUGGCGAAGGCGGCCCCCUGGACAAAGACUGACGCUCAGGUGCGAAAGCGUGGGGAGCAAACAGGAUUAGAUACCCGCGUAGUCCCUGUCUCUUAUAA
rnacentral:rRNA from 1 species